AUUGAACGCUGGCGGCAGGCCUAACACAUGCAAGUCGAGCGGAGCGGCGGACGGGUGAGUAAUGCCUAGGAAUCUGCCUGGUAGUGGGGGAUAACGUACGGAAACGGGCGAUAAUACCGCAUACCAUCAGACGAGCUUAGGCCGGAUUAGAUAGUUGGUUGGGUAAAGGCCUACCAAGGCGGCGCUCACUAACUGGUCUGAGAGGAUGAUCAGUCACACUGGAACUGAGACACGGUCCAGAUGCCUACGGGAGGCAGCAGUGGGGAAUAUUGGACAAUGGGCGAAAGCCUGAUGCAGCCAUGCCGCGUGUGUGAAGAAGGUCUUCGGAUUGUAAAGCACUUUAAGUUGGGAGGCGUUACCAACAGAAUAAGCACCGGCUAACUUCGUGCCAGCAGCCGCGGUAAUUC
rnacentral:rRNA from 1 species